rnacentral:rRNA from 1 species
GACGAACGCUGGCGGCGUGCCUAAUACAUGCAAGUCGAACGCACAGUUUAUACCGUAGCUUGCUACACCAUAAACUGUGAGUUGCGAACGGGUUAGUAACGCGUAGGUAACCUGCCUGGUAGCGGGGGAUAACUAUUGGAAACGAUAGCUAAUACCGCAUAAUAUUAAUUAUUGCAUGAUAAUUGAUUGAAAGAUGCAAUUGCAUCACUACCAGAUGGACCUGCGUUGUAUUAGCUAGUAGGUGAGGUAACGGCUCACCUAGGCGACGAUACAUAGCCGACCUGAGAGGGUGAUCGGCCACACUGGGACUGAGACACGGCCCAGACUCCUACGGGAGGCAGCAGUAGGGAAUCUUCGGCAAUGGACGAAAGUCUGACCGAGCAACGCCGCGUGAGUGAAGAAGGUUUUCGGAUCGUAAAGCUCUGUUGUAAGAGAAGAACGGGUGUGAGAGUGGAAAGUUCACACUGUGACGGUAUCUUACCAGAAAGGGACGGCUAACUACGUG